UGGGGAAUCUUCCGCAAUGGACGAAAGUCUGACGGAGCAACGCCGCGUGUAUGAUGAAGGUCUUCGGAUUGUAAAGUACUGUCAUUGGGGAAGAACGGUUUUCUUGAAAAGAUUGAGAAGACAUGACGGUACCCAAGGAGGAAGCCCCGGCUAACUACGUGCCAGCAGCCGCGGUAAUACGUAGGGGGCAAGCGUUGUCCGGAAUUAUUGGGCGUAAAGGGCGCGUAGGCGGGCUUUUAAGUCCGGUGUGAAAGAUCAGGGCUCAACCCUGAGAGUGCAUCGGAAACUGGAGGCCUUGAGGACAGGAGAGGAAAGUGGAAUUCCACGUGUAGCGGUGAAAUGCGUAGAUAUGUGGAGGAACACCAGUGGCGAAGGCGACUUUCUGGACUGUAACUGACGCUGAGGCGCGAAAGCGUGGGGAGCAAACAGGAUUAGAUACCCUGGUAGUCCACGCCGUAAACGAUGAGUGCUAGGUGUAGAGGGUAUCGACCCCUUCUGUGCCGCAGUUAACACAAUAAGCACUCCGCCUGGGGAGUACGGCCGCAA
rnacentral:rRNA from 1 species